rnacentral:lncRNA from 1 species
CCUGGGCAUAUUUAGUGUAGUUGCUGCAUCUUACCUUGUUUUGUUUGGAAAGACGUAAAUGAGAAUCGCAAGCAUAUUGAUAGAGCAGUAGGAUCAAUGCAUCUCUUAUGCAACACUAGAAUCACUUACUUUGAUGUACCACUAGAAUUAGUUUCUCACUCUAAAAUCAUCUAAGAUUAGCAUCAGGAGAUGCCCGUGCUCGUGUGCCAAUAAUUAGAGAAAUUAUAUGGUUACUACUACAGCAACUCCAGUUAUUGCAAUGCAAUUUGUUCUAGCAACUCCAGUCAUUUCGCUCCAGACAGUCCACAUAUUUAACUUGUUGCCGUCGAAAGCGAUCUGGCUCAAGUGGACAAGAUGGAGCCAAGAAAGGGGAAGAGAUGGUUGCAAGACGGC